rnacentral:lncRNA from 1 species
UAUAAGUCUAUCUUCAAAUUCUUACUCUGGUCUCAAUUUAUGUUCUUUAUAUAUAUUCUCUUAGUUACUGUUUUCACAGAAAAAAAAAAUUAUAACUAACUUCUAUAUUUGUAAAUCAAAUACCCUGUCCCCUGAGGAGACUUGACUUUACAUUCAAUGAGUUAGACUGUUGCCUGAUCAUGGCUGCCUCUCAGUACCAAGAAAUAUGCAAUAAAAAAUUUACUAAUACACUUAGAAUCAUUAUUCACAAUUUGGAAAAUAUAUUUACAAACCAAAAACAGAGUAUCAAAUAAUAGUAGCAAUGAUCACAUUAGAGUAUCAUUCUCUAAUAUAUAUGAAUUUAGAUUAUCAUCUAGAAUAAAUUCAUCUAGGAAUACUAUAUAAAUCUUAGACCAAAAGCAUUUUACUCAAAGUCUUAAUAUUAAACAGAAAUCACAGAGAAACAUCAUUUUUUUUGACUAAGCUUCAUCACUUUUUUUAAAGAGAGAGAGAUAGAGAAUUUUUUAAUAUUUAUUUUUCAGUUUUCGGUGGACACAACAUCUUUAUUUUAUUUUUAUGUGCUUCUGAGGAUCGAACCCAGCGCCCCGCACAUGCCAGGCAAGCGCUUUACCACUUGAGCAACGUCCCCAGCCCAACUCCAUCAUUGGAAAAGAGAAAAUUACUUUUUGAUUGAAGCUCCUGCACAUAACAGCUAACAGACCAGAAUAUAAGUUUAAUGGAGGGUCUGAAUAAGUAUCUCUGUGGAGGAGGGUGUCACUCUGUGGAUUACAUCACCAACAGAGCAAAACAAAAACAAAAUGGACCCAUGCCUCAUCAGAGUGAGAUUAAACUGCCAAAUCUGAUUCCUGCUGAAAUAGAAUUAAAGAAGCUGAGUUCCAGGGCACAAGCUGGAGGAUAAGGAAGAGGACAAGUUCAAGGACAGCUUCAGCAAUCAAGUUCAAGGGCCACUUCAGCAAUUUAGUGAGGCCCUAAGCAAGAAGACUCUGUCUCAAAAUAAAAAUUAAAAAUGCUAGAGACUUGGCUCAGCAGUGAAAUAUACUUUGUUUGAAUCUGUGGUAUCUACUCCUCCCUAAAAAAACAAAAAUAAAAAAAAAUAAAAAGAUUAAUAGGCGAAGACAAAAUUUCCCACAGAGGACAAUUUCAUGAGCAUAAUAAUAAAUUUUCUCCACCUUAAUCCUUACACAAAAUAAGUAAACUUAAGUAAUUGGAUAUUAAACAAUAGUUUAUUUCUCCAUUGCUCCUUGUCUCUGUUCCCACCUUACAAGGUAGGUAGUUUUGAAGACAUCAAUCUGCUUUUUGUUUCUGCUUUCUUUGGCCUUUUUCUAUACAAAAUACCAAAACUCUUCUGAUCAACUCUUUUUUUUAAAUUUAUUUUUAUUUUUUUUUAUUUGUUGUUCAAAACAUUACAAAACUCUUGACAUAUCAUAUUUCAUACAUUAGAUUCAAGUGGGUUAUGAACUCCCAUUUUUACCCCAAAUACAGAUUGCAGAAUCACAUUGGUUACACAUCCACAUUUUUACAUAAUGCCCUAUUAGUAACCAUUGUAUUCUGCUACCUUUCCUAUCCUCUACUAUCCACCCUCCCCUCCCCUCCCCUCCCAUCUUCUCUCUCUACCCCAUCUACUGUCAUUCAUUUCUCUCCUUGUUUUUUUCCCCAUUCCCCUCAUAACCUCUUAUAUGUAAUUUUGCAUAACAAUGAGGGCCUCCUUCCAUUUCCAUGCAAUUUCCCUUUUCUCUACCUUUCCCUCCCACCUGAUGUCUCUGUUUAAUGUUAAUCUUUUCCUCCCGCUCUUCCUCCCUGCUCUGUUCUUAGUUGCUCUCAUUAUAUCAAAGAAGACAUUUGGCAUUUGUGUUUUAGGGAUUGGCUGGCUUCACUUAGCACAAUCUGCUCUGGUACCAUCAAUUUCCCUGCAAAUUCCACGAUUUUGUCAUUUUUUAGUGCUGCAUAAUUCUCCAUUGUGUAUAAAUGCCACAUUUUUUUUUAUCCAUUCAUCUAUUGAAGGGCAUCUGGGUUGAUUCCACAGUCUAGCUAUUGUGAAUUGUGCUGCUAUGAACAUCGAUGUGGCAGUAUCCCUGUAAUACACUCUUUUAAGGUCUUCAGGGAAUAGUCUGAGAAGGGCAAUAGCUGGGUCAAAUGGUGGUUCCAUUCCCAGCUUUCCCAGGAAUCUAAAUACUGCUUUCCAAAUUGGCCGCACCAAUUUGCAGUCCCACCAGCAAUGUACAAGAGUACCCUUUUCCCCACAUCCUCGCCAGCACUUGUUGUUGUUUGACUUCAUAAUGGCUGCCAAUCUUACUGGAGUGAGAUGGUAUCUUAGGGUGGUUUUGAUUUGCAUUUCUCUGACUGCUAGAGAUGGUGAGCAUUUUUUCAUGUACUUGUUGAUUGAUUGUAUGUCCUCCUGUGAGAAGUGUCUGUUCAGGUCCUUGGCCCAUUUGUUGAUUGGGUUAUUUGUUAUCUUAUUGUUUAAUUUUUUGAGUUCUUUGUAUACUCUGGAUAUUAGGGCUCUAUCUGAAGUGUGAGGAGUAAAAAUUUGUUCCCAUGAUAUAGGCUCCCUAUUUACCUCUCUUAUUGUUUCUCUUGCUGAGAAAAAACUUUUUAGUUUGAGUAAGUCCCAUUUGUUGAUUC